AAACCAGUUUCACGGUGAAACCAAUUUUCCGAAUGACACUACUUCAACAUAUAAAUGACACUUUAACAUUUUCAAUGACACUACUGCUGCUGAAAUAGAAAUUUUAUUGAAGAAAAACAAAAACCCUUGAGAGCACAGGCGCAAACAAGGAACGACCGGAAAAACGAAAACCAGAAAAAGACAAAAAAAAACCCAAGCGAAAAGAGAAAGAAAACAACAAGAACGAACUAAAGACGGGACCGCAAAGGGUCACAACCGAGGCCGAGCAAAGUCCACGCAAGAGCCGUCCCGGGUAGAGCACAAAAGCACCAGAACGAGCGCCAGAGAAACCAAGCGCCAGAGGAAUCAAG
rnacentral:lncRNA from 1 species